AGAUAGUUGCAUAGAUAUUUUAAAGUUGCAAUGUGCAAGAUUUGGCAGCAUUUGGCUGCGAGGUUGCAGAUGAAACGCAAGAACAAGUGUAUGGUUUUCCUCUCCUGAAUCUUUAAAAAACAAUAACCACCUCACUAUGGAAUUAUAAUUGCUCCAUUUUAAGGAAACAAAGAGCUCAACAAUUGUUAUUUUCAGAUGGUUAUACUUUGGAAUACAACAUGCUUAUAAAUAUUACAUAUUAUAUAUUCUAUUAUUAUUCUAUUUUUCCAAUAGAUGCUACACUCUGGUCCUUUAAUUAGGUUCGAUUCAAUUCAGUAUUAGUGUGUGAGGUGUGUUCAGGUUUACAGAUUAAAGAACAUUGCUGUGUUGUUGACAAAAAAAGAUGGACAAAUAACUGAAAUGAAGAAUAAUCAAAUGUGAAAUUACCUUUUCAGUGUUAGUAAUCCUUCAGACUUCAGGUUUUAUAUGUAUCCAUUUUAAAAGUGCCAUCAUUGCCAUCAGAGAUCAUGUUAUGGCAGACUUGUCUUUUAAGGUUGUAUUUCUUUGUUUCAGGGCUCAUAUUUCGUACACUACUGUUUUUCUGGAGAAAUUAAAGCAGCAAAUAAAUGAAAAGAUUUGAAUUAUUCUGAUUAAAGAAAGCUCUGUGGGAUAUAAUUUAUAUUAAUACUAAAUUUGUCCCAGGCUUGGUUGCCAUAGUGAUAGCGGCAUGUGUCCUGAACCUCAAUCGGGGUGCUGGUCAUCUCCUUGGUAACCGUUAUCUUCCUGGCCUGGUAUUGGAUGACGAAACACUAUGGCGACUGGGUGUGGAAGAAGCUCUCUCCUAUCAAAGACCGAAACUGGUUCUUGAUCAGAUGGUAAGAAAUGUUUUGCUUCAGUUUUCCUACCCUUCCUGAUCAAAACAUGGAUGGAGGCUCACUGUCUUUAAAUCAUGCUGCAAACGAGCCAUUGUCAUAAUACAAAAAAUCCUUCUUAGUAGCUGUAACUACGGUAUGUAAUGUGCACGACCGUUCAGACACGUCUCCUGGCAACAGAAACAUCCCGACACUGAAGUUCCUUGUUUUUAAAAUCCGAAUGAGCUCUGAAUACAAACAAGGCAGGAUAAAGAAAACAAGACCAGUUGACGGCAAGUGACGUGUGAGAGAAAACCUGCUGUGUGCUACAGUAGAGCAAGGCAAAUGCACUGGCUCAAGGGUGCUUUUAAGUAAAAAGGUGAAGCCAUUGCACAAUAUAGACUAAAAAAACGAAGAAUUAACCCACUAAUUGAUCUACAACAAACAAAUAAAUGCUGAACUCAUCAGUCGCUGAUUUUUAUAGCCACAAAACUGACGUUACCUAGAAAGGUUUUAUAUUCAUCCGUAACUUCUUUGCAACACACGUGGCUUUCUCUUGCCAACGUAUCGCACACGUUCCUGAUGGUAAGUCUGUCUCUGUUCAUGUUGCUGGCGUUCCUCGCCUCCCUCCCUUGUCUGAUACUGGUUCUGUCUCUACAGCGCGUAGUGUACGUGUCACUGCUGGUGUCCAUGUCUUUUGUUGGUUUGCUGCUCUUCAUCUUCCUAAUGCAGAUAUUCUCCAAAUAGGUAGAGGAUGCACACCUACGCACACACACACACACACACACACACGCACACACACACACACACACACACACACACACACACACACACACACACACACGCGCACACACACACACAUACAGACACACUGCUGGUUCAUGUAUUGGACACAUGUUUUGCAGUGGUGUGGUCAAACUUGCAGUGCAGGAUUGGGCUACAGUUUGUCUUUGGUCUGCCGAUCCUCAGGACCAUUUUUGGCUUCGUUGGAAUUGAAUGGCUCGGAAAAAAAGUAGAGACUUUUAUGUCAUUUGCAGAUGUUGGGUCUAAGUUAGUGUUUGGUCUCAGUUACAACGACCACUUCUUCAUCUUCAAGAUUGGUCUCGGAUGCAGGUUACCAUGGCAACAUCUCCAGCCGAAUCGAUGGCUGCUGCUGGAAAUGUAUUCUUGGAACAGACAGUGUCACCUCUCCUUAUUCGUCCAUGCAUCAGUGGACUAACUUGCUCUGAGAUCCCUGCUGUGAUGACAGCAGGUUUUGCCAGCGUCUCUGGUGUUUUGGGAGCCUUUAUCUUCUUUUUCUGUAAAUAUUUACUUUGAGAAGGAGUUAAUAAUCAGCUUUAUUUGAUUAUCUAAUAUACAAGCUUUGCCAAGGUAACACAACUGUGUUAAAUAAUGUAAUGAUUAAUCACCUUACUGUGAGACCCCCAAAUAAUAUUUAGAGGGAUGAUGUCUUACUCAACAGCAGCUCACCUACAGAUAUCCCCAGUUAUUCUCAGUAAUGUAUUGUAUUUAACGGGAAAGUCCAUAAAUAAAUACAACAUGUUUAGCAGUGAAUAAAACAUGAAUAUAUUUAAAAAGGUUGUCAGAGUAGAUUGAAAAGCAUGGCACUAACCAUGAGAAAUACUUAAUAACAAGUAUGUAUAACUUUAUAUACAUGUAUGACAAACACCAAAAUGAGCUGCUUUGAUCGUAGUUCCUCACAGUAAAGGGAUUGCAGGUUGUAGCUAAAAAUACUAAUGCUUACAUAUCUAUAUACG
ensembl:lncRNA